GGGAGCGGGCGCCGGGGCAGCGGCAGCUGCUGCAGCAACGCUCGGAAAAAGUUGGCGGCCGCUUCGUCCGGUGAAAGGUGGCUGCCGCUGCCGCCAGAGACAGAGAAAGGACAAGCCAAAGGUGCAUGAGUUACACAAUCUUCAUUUGGUCUACUUGAUGAAAACCCAAUGAGAGAAGAAUCCAUUCUAACUUCCUGUUCUAUAUUGGGAGAGGCGUAAACUGCCUGAUAACAAGGCUGAAUUCAUCAUUUGCAUAUUUUCACUGAUGAAUACUGAGUCUGUAAAAAGGCUCCGGAUAAUGGAUGGAGGGCAGUGAGAAGAUGUGUGUGAACUUUCUGUCACGAAGGGCAAUUUGCAGGAACUAAUCAUCUUACAAUGGUUGGUCAUAAGAAAGAAAUCCAUCAACCAAGCAUCCUGCAUAGCCCCCAUACUACAUGCUGGAGAGAAAAAUGAACAAGUAAAAUCCCCACUGCCCUUGAAGUAGUCACUGCUCAUCAAGGAAGACGUGUUAACAACAAUUAUGACUGACAGAUAUCUAUCUACCCACUGUUACGGACUGAAAAGUAUCCUCCCCCAAAUUCAUAUGUUGAAGUCCUAACUCCCAGUACCUCAGAGUGUGAAUGUAUUUGGAGAUGGGGCCCUAAAAAAGAGG